rnacentral:ncRNA from 1 species
CAAAGGUUUGGUCCUGGCCUUAAGAUCACUUGUUACUCAACACACACAUGCAAGUCUCCGCACCCCCGUGAGAACGCCCUUAAACUCCUACCCAGGAAUAAGGAGCCGGCAUCAGGCACAACAAUUUGCCCAAGACGCCUAGCCAUGCCACCCCCACACGGGACUUCAGCAGUGAUUAAUAUUGAAUAUUAGCGACAGCUUGAUUCAGUCAGAGUAAAAAGAGCCGGCCAAUCUGGUGCCAGCCGCCGCGGUUACACCACGUGGCUCAAAUUGAUCCCCAUCGGCGUAAAGCGUGAUUUAAGUAACUACCCCAUUAGAGUUAAACUUGAGCUAAGCUGUGAUACGCUUGCACACAAGAAACCCGGAAGCGAAAGCCACUCUAACCCUACCCACUUGAACUCACGACAGCUGGGGCACAAACUGGGAUUAGAUACCCCACUAUGCCCAGCCGUAAACUUUCAAUUACAUCCGAACCGCCUGGGAACUACGAGCAAAGCUUAAAACCCAAAGGACUUGACGGUCCCCCACAUCCCCCUAGAGGAGCCUGUCCUUUAAUCGAUAACCCCCGUUUAACCUCACCAUCUUUAGCCUAUCAGCCUGUAUACCUCCGUCGUCAGCUUACCCCGUGAGCGAACAUCAGUAAGCUUAAUGCCCAAUGCCAAUACGUCAGGUCAAGGUGCAGCAAAUAAGAUGGGAAGAGAUGGGCUACACUUUCUAAACUAGAAGAUACGAAAGACUACAUAUGAAAUCUAGUCAGAAGGCGGAUUUAGUAGUAAGAAGGAAUUAGAGUGCCCUUCUUAACCUGGCACUGGGGCGCGUACACACCGCCCGUCACCCUCUUCAAAGCCAAAUGACAGUUCUUAACGCACGCCCGCGCCACAGAAGAGGCAAGUCGUAACAUGGUAAGUAUACCGGAAGGUGUGCUUGGCAAU